AAGGGAGACCUAAUUCAGGUAGGAGACGAAAAAAAAGUAGUCGCUACCAAGAAUCAAUCCCAAAAGGUCGGAGCGAGGCGAAAUUGGCUUUCAAACUAGGUUCUGGGUUCACACAAGACCUGAAUCAGGAACAAGGGCUAUUAGCUCAGGUGGUUAGAGCGCACCCCUGAUAAGGGUGAGGUCCCUGGUUCGAGUCCAGGAUGGCCCACCUGCACAGGUGGCAAAAACAAGAGAAGCGAGGAAUCAGCACCUUAUCUUAUCUAUAUAUAUAUAGGAGAGAAUGCUGGCUCUGAGUAAAGAGUCCAGAGGAACCUUGAAAACUGCAUAGAGCUAGGUGAAAAAGCCAAAAAAGAAGACCGCAAGGUCAAGCUAAUAAGGGCUAACGGUGGAUACCUAGGCAC
rnacentral:tRNA from 1 species